rnacentral:tRNA from 1 species
UCAGUGGUGGUUCAGUGAUAGAAUGCUCCCCUUCCAUGUGGGAGACCCGGGUUCAAUUCCCAGCCAAUGCG